rnacentral:rRNA from 1 species
AACGAACGCUGGCGGCAGGCUUAACACAUGCAAGUCGAGCGCCCCGCAAGGGGAGCGGCAGACGGGUGAGUAACGCGUGGGAAUCUACCCAACUCUACGGAAUAACCCAGGGAAACUUGGACUAAUACCGUAUACGUCCUCCGGGAGAAAGAUUUAUCGGAGUUGGAUGAGCCCGCGUUGGAUUAGCUAGUUGGUGGGGUAAUGGCCUACCAAGGCGACGAUCCAUAGCUGGUCUGAGAGGAUGAUCAGCCACACUGGGACUGAGACACGGCCCAGACUCCUACGGGAGGCAGCAGUGGGAAUAUUGGACAAUGGGCGAAAGCCUGAUCCAGCCAUGCCGCGUGAGUGAUGAAGGCCCUAGGGUUGUAAAGCUCUUUCACCGGUGAAGAUAAUGACGGUAACCGGAGAAGAAGCCCCGGCUAAC